rnacentral:rRNA from 1 species
AGUCGAGCGAGCUGCCUAGAUGAUUUUAGUGCUUGCACUAGAUGAAACUAGAUACAAGCGAGCGGCGGACGGGUGAGUAACACGUGGGUAACCUGCCCAAGAGACUGGGAUAACACCUGGAAACAGAUGCUAAUACCGGAUAACAACACUAGACGCAUGUCUAGAGUUUGAAAGAUGGUUCUGCUAUCACUCUUGGAUGGACCUGCGGUGCAUUAGCUAGUUGGUAAGGUAACGGCUUACCAAGGCAAUGAUGCAUAGCCGAGUUGAGAGACUGAUCGGCCACAUUGGGACUGAGACACGGCCCAAACUCCUACGGGAGGCAGCAGUAGGGAAUCUUCCACAAUGGACGAAAGUCUGAUGGAGCAACGCCGCGUGAGUGAAGAAGGGUUUCGGCUCGUAAAGCUCUGUUGGUAGUGAAGAAAGAUAGAGGUAGUAACUGGCCUUUAUUUGACGGUAAUUACUUAGAAAGUCACGGCUAACUACGUGCCAGCAGCCGCGGUAAUACGUAGGUGGCAAGCGUUGUCCGGAUUUAUUGGGCGUAAAGCGAGUGCAGGCGGUUCAAUAAGUCUGAUGUGAAAGCCUUCGGCUCAACCGGAGAAUUGCAUCAGAAACUGUUGAACUUGAGUGCAGAAGAGGAGAGUGGAACUCCAUGUGUAGCGGUGGAAUGCGUAGAUAUAUGGAAGAACACCAGUGGCGAAGGCGGCUCUCUGGUCUGCAUCUGACGCUGAGGCUCGAAAGCAUGGGUAGCGAACAGGAUUAGAUACCCUGGUAGUCCAUGCCG